rnacentral:rRNA from 1 species
UACGAAGGGGGCUAGCGUUGCUCGGAAUCACUGGGCGUAAAGCGCACGUAGGCGGCUUUUUAAGUCAGGGGUGAAAUCCUGGAGCUCAACUCCAGAACUGCCUUUGAUACUGAGAAGCUUGAGUCCGGGAGAGGUGAGUGGAACUGCGAGUGUAGAGGUGAAAUUCGUAGAUAUUCGCAAGAACACCAGUGGCGAAGGCGGCUCACUGGCCCGGUACUGACGCUGAGGAGCGAAAGCGUGGGGAGCGAACAGGA